rnacentral:rRNA from 1 species
GACGAACGCUGGCGGCGUGCUUAACACAUGCAAGUCGAACGGGAAGGCCCUGCUUUUGGGGGGUGCGCGAGGGGCGAAGGGGUGAGUAACACGUGAGUAACCUGCCCUUGACUUUGGGGUAACUUCAGGAAACUGGGGGUAAUAGCGGAUAGGAGCUAUUGCUGCAGGGUGGGGGUGGGAAAGUUUCGGCGGUUGGGGAUGGACUCGCGGCUUAUGAGCUUGUUGGGGGGGUAGUGGAUUACCAAGACUUUGACGGGUAGCCGGCCUGAGCGGGUGACCGGCCACAUUGGGACUGAGAUACGGCACAGACUCCUCCGGGAGGCAGCACUGGGGUAUAUUGCACAAUGGGAGGAAGCCUGAUGCAGCACAGCCGCGUGCGGGAUGACGGCCUUCGGGUUGUAUACCGAUUUCGCCUGUGCCGAAGCGUGAGUGACGGUAAUGGGUAAAGAAGCACCGGCUAACUACGUG